rnacentral:rRNA from 1 species
GAUGAACGCUGGCGGCGUGCCUAAUACAUGCAAGUCGAGCGAACAGACGAGGAGCUUGCUCCUCUGACGUUAGCGGCGGACGGGUGAGUAACACGUGGAUAACCUACCUAUAAGACUGGGAUAACUUCGGGAAACCGGAGCUAAUACCGGAUAAUAUAUUGAACCGCAUGGUUCAAUAGUGAAAGACGGUUUUGCUGUCACUUAUAGAUGGAUCCGCGCCGCAUUAGCUAGUUGUUAAGGUAACGGCUUACCAAGGCAACUAUUCGUAGCCGACCUGAGAGGGUGGUCGGCCACACUGGAACUGAGACAAGGUCCAGACUACUCCGGGAGGCAGCGGUAGGGAAUCUUCCGCAAUGCGCGAAAGCCUAACGGAGCAACGCAGCGUGAGUGAUGAAGGUAUUCGGAUCGUAAAACUCUGUUAUUAGGGAAGAAAAAAUGUGUAAGUAACUAUGCACGUCUUGACGGUACCUAAUCAGAAAGCCACGGCUAACUACGUG